rnacentral:rRNA from 1 species
GUAAGGAAUAUUGGUCAAUGGACGAAAGUCUGAACCAGCCAUGCCGCGUGAAGGAUGAAGGCCCUCUGGGUUGUAAACUUCUUUUAUCUGGGACGAAAAAAGGGUAUUCUUACUCACUUGACGGUACCAGAGGAAUAAGCACCGGCUAACUCCGUGCCAGCAGCCGCGGUAAUACGGAGGGUGCAAGCGUUAUCCGGAUUCACUGGGUUUAAAGGGUGCGUAGGUGGGUAUUUAAGUCAGUGGUGAAAUCUCCGAGCUUAACUCGGAAACUGCCAUUGAUACUAUUUACCUUGAAUGCCCUGGAGGUAAGCGGAAUAUGUCAUGUAGCGGUGAAAUGCAUAGAUAUGACAUAGAACACCAAUUGCGAAGGCAGCUUACUACGGGGUGAUUGACACUGGGGCACGAAAGCGUAGGGAGCAAACAGGAUUAGAUACCCCGGUAGCC